rnacentral:rRNA from 1 species
UACGGGGGGGGGCAAGCGUUGUUCGGAAUUACUGGGCGUAAAGGGCGCGUAGGCGGCCUGCUAAGUCGAACGUGAAAUCCCUGGGCUCAACCCAGGAACUGCGUCCGAUACUGGUGUGGCUUGAGUGCAGGAGAGGAACGCGGAAUUCCAGGUGUAGCGGUGAAAUGCGUAGAUAUCUGGAGGAACACCGGUGGCGAAGGCGGCGUUCUGGACUGCAACUGACACUGAGGAACGAAAGCCAGGGGAGCAAACGGGG